GGAUAUAGCUUAGUUGGUAUAGUGCUUGCCUCACAUGCACAGGCUCUGGGUUCAAUCCCCAGCACCA
rnacentral:tRNA from 1 species